rnacentral:rRNA from 1 species
AGAGUUCGAUCGUGGCUCAGGAUGAACGCUAGCGGCGCGCCUAAUGCAUGCAAGUCGGGCGAUGAGUUCCUUCGGGGACAUCAGCGGCAAACGGGUGAGUAACACGUAGGUGACCUACCCUCGACCCGGGGAUAACGGCUGGAAACAGGCGCUAAUACCGGAUGAGCUUCUCGGGUCACAGCGAGAAGGAAAGCCGAAAGGCGGUGGAGGCGGGGCCUGCGGCCCAUCAGCUAGUUGGUGUGGUAACGGCGCACCAAGGCGAGGACGGGUAGGGGGUGUGAGAGCACGGCCCCCCACAAUGGGACUGAGAGACGGCCCAUACUCCUACGGGAGGCAGCAGCAGGGAAUAUUGCGCAAUGAGCGCAAGCUAGAUGCAGCGACGCCGCGUGGAUGAAGAAGGCCUUCGGGUUGUAAAAUUCUUUUCAGGGGGAAGAGACAGGACGGUACCCUUGGAAUAAGCGUCGGCUAACUACGUGCCAGCAGCCGCGGUAAGACGUAGGACGCGAGCGUUAUCCGGAUUUACUGGGCGUAAAGCGUCUGUAGGCGGGCUGACAAGUUGGGCGUGAAAGCUCCGGGCUUAACUCGGAGAGGUCGUUCAAUACUGUCGGCCUAGAGGGGGUCAGAGGGGCGUGGAAUUUCCAGUGUAGCGGUAAAAUGCGCAGAUAUUGGAAGGAACACCCGUGGCGAAGGCGGCGUCCUGGGGCCCACCUGACGCUGAGAGACGAAAGCUAGGGGAGCGAACAGGAUUAGAGACCCUGGUAGUCCUAGCCCUAAACGAUGAAUGCUAGGUGUGGGGGCGUAGUGUCUCCGUGCCGUAGCCAACGCGAUAAGCAUUCCGCCUGGGGAGUACGGCCGCAAGGUUAAAACUCAAACGAAUUGACGGGACCCCGCACAAGCAGCGGAGCGUGUGGUUUAAUUCGAUUUUACACGAAGAACCUUACCUGGGUUUGACAUCUAGGUGGUAGGGAAGCGAAAGCCGACCGACUCGUAAGAGAGCCUAGACAGGUGCUGCAUGGCUGUCGUCAGCUCGUGCCGUGAGGUGUCGGGUUAAGUCCCGUAACGAGCGCAACCCCUGCCCUUAGUUACAUGUGUCUAGGGGGACUGCCGGCGGGAAGCCGGAGGAAGGUGGGGAUGACGUCAAGUCAGCAUGGCCCUUAUGUCCAGGGCUACACACACACGCUACAAUGGCCGGUACAAUGGGCAGCGAAGCCGCGAGGUAGAGCGAAUCCGGGCAAAGCCGGUCGUAGUUCGGAUAGCAGGCUGCAACCCGCCUGCUUGAAGCUGGAGUUGCUAGUAACCGCGCGUCAGCCAUAGUGCGGUGAUUACGUUCCCGGGGUUUGUACACACCGCCCGUCACGUCAUGGGAGUUGGUAACGCCUGAAGCCGGUAGGCUAGCCCGCAAGGGGGGCCGCCGUCGAAGGCGGGACUGGCGACUGGGACGAAGUCGUAACAAGGUA